GAGUUCCUACACCAGUUUCUGUAAUUAUCAGUGCAGCUGCAUUUGCACUUGCACAUCUCACUCCCGGAGAGUUUCUCCAAUUAUUUAUACUAGGGGCUGAUUUGGGAUUUUCAUAUGCUCAAACUCGCAAUCUGGUGACUCCUAUCACAAUCCAUGCUUUCUGGAAUUCGGGUGUGAUUUUACUUCUUACCUUUCUUCAGUUGCAAGGUUAUGACAUAAAGGAAUUGUUACAAGCAACUUGAUGAAGAUUUGAGAUUUUGCACCUGCUCAUGGCUUGGACAAUGAAUCUU